rnacentral:rRNA from 1 species
UACGUAGGGGGCAAGCGUUGUCCGGAAUCAUUGGGCGUAAAGAGCUCGUAGGCGGUCUGUCGCGUCGGCUGUGAAAACCCGGAGCUCAACUCCGGGCCUGCAGUCGAUACGGGCAAACUGGAGUGUUGCAGGGGAGACUGGAAUUCCUGGUGUAGCGGUGAAAUGCGCAGAUAUCAGGAGGAACACCGGUGGCGAAGGCGGGUCUCUGGGCAACAACUGACGCUGAGGAGCGAAAGCGUGGGGAGCGAACAGG